GAUGAACGCUAGCUACAGGCUUAACACAUGCAAGUCGAGGGGAAACGACAUCGAAAGCUUGCUUUUGAUGGGCGUCGACCGGCGCACGGGUGAGUAACGCGUAUCCAACCUGCCCACCACUUGGGGAUAACCUUGCGAAAGUAAGACUAAUACCCAAUGACGUCUCUAGAAGACAUCUGAAAGAGAUUAAAGAUUUAUCGGUGAUGGAUGGGGAUGCGUCUGAUUAGCUUGUUGGCGGGGUAACGGCCCACCAAGGCGACGAUCAGUAGGGGUUCUGAGAGGAAGGUCCCCCACAUUGGAACUGAGACACGGUCCAAACUCCUACGGGAGGCAGCAGUGAGGAAUAUUGGUCAAUGGGCGAGAGCCUGAACCAGCCAAGUAGCGUGCAGGAUGACGGCCCUAAUGGGUUGUAAACUGCUUUAUAAGGAAUAAAGUGAGCCUCGUGAGGCUUUUUGCAUGUACCUUAUGAAUAAGGACCGGCUAAUUCCGUG
rnacentral:rRNA from 1 species